rnacentral:rRNA from 1 species
UACGUAGGAGGCGAGCGUUAUCCGUAUUUACUGGGCGUAAAGCGCUUGUAGGCGGCGUCGUAAGUUGGGCGUGAAAGCUCCGGGCUUAACCCGGAGAGGCCGUCCAAUACUGCGGAGCUCGAGGGUGCCAGAGGAAGGUGGAAUUCCUGGUGUAGCGGUGAAAUGCGUAGAUAUCAGGAGGAACACCCGUGGCGAAGGCGGCUUUCUGGGGCAUUCCUGACGCUGAGAAGCGAAAGCUAGGGGAGCAAACAGG